rnacentral:rRNA from 1 species
CCUACGGGAGGCAGCAGUGGGGAAUUUUGGACAAUGGGCGCAAGCCUGAUCCAGCAAUGCCGCGUGAGUGAAGAAGGCCUUCGGGUUGUAAAGCUCUUUUGUCAGGGAAGAAACGGUGGGGGCUAAUAUCCCCUGCUAAUGACGGUACCUGAAGAAUAAGCACCGGCUAACUACGUGCCAGCAGCCGCGGUAAUACGUAGGGUGCAAGCGUUAAUCGGAAUUACUGGGCGUAAAGCGUGCGCAGGCGGUUUUGUAAGUUUGUCGUGAAAUCCCCGGGCUCAACCUGGGAAUGGCGAUGAAGACUGCAAGGCUAGAAUCUGGCAGAGGGGGUAGAAUUCCACGUGUAGCAGUGAAAUGCGUAGAGAUGUGGAGGAACACCGAUGGCGAAGGCAGCCCCCUGGGUCAAGAUUGACGCUCAUGCACGAAAGCGUGGGGAGCAAACAGGAUUAGAUACCCUGGUAGUCCACGCCCUAAACGAUGUCUACUAGUUGUCGGGUUUUAAUUAACUUGGUAACGCAGCUAACGCGUGAAGUAGACCGCCUGGGGAGUACGGUCGCAAGAUUAAAACCUUAAAGGAAUUGACGGCUGAGAGNGCGAGACGACACGAGGGAGAGG